rnacentral:rRNA from 1 species
GACGAACGCUGGCGGCGUGCCUAACACAUGCAAGUCGAACGGAGAUAUUUGAAAGAAGUUUUCGGAUGGAUUUUAAAUAUCUUAGUGGCGGACGGGCGAGUAACGCGUGAGCAACCUGCCCUUCAGUGGGGAAUAACGACCGGAAACGGGCGCUAAUACCGCAUAAAAUAUACAUUUGGCAUCGAAAGUAUAUCAAAGGAGCAAUUCGCUGAAGGAUGGGCUCGCGUCCGAUUAGCUGGUUGGUGAGGUAACGGCUCACCAAGGCGACGAUCGGUAGCCGAACUGAGAGGUUGAUCGGCCGCAUUGGGACUGAGACACGGCCCAGACUCCUACGGGAGGCAGCAGUGGGGGAUAUUGCACAAUGGAGGAAACUCUGAUGCAGCAACGCCGCGUGAGGGAAGAAGGUCUUCGGAUUGUAAACCUUAGUAGUCAGGGACGAAACAAAUGACGGUACCUGAAGAGUAAGCUCCGGCUAACUACGUGCCAGCAGCCGCGGUAAAAGUGU